UUACCUCCUCCUCCGAGUCCUUGCUCUUGGUCGCAACGCGUGCGGUAUCGCUUUUUGUAUGCCAAGGAGACUAGCGUUGUUUCGAGGUCAUGGGGCGUGGUUACUCUUUUGGGCAGUUGGGGUGCAAGAGAUUUCUCACCUGCUUCUGAAAAGAGAGACUAAAUAACCAGACCUUAAAAUUACUUUUCAUCCCUCUUGCCGAGGACUCUCAAGCUGGGGAUGCAGUUCAUAGUGAACCAGUUGUUCAGUGUUUCGAUGAGGCGGUCGAGCUCCAUCUGUGUAAUCCCGUGUGAUUCUGACGAGAGAGCAAGAGAGCGAGAGGAAGGUGCGGAUGAAAUGGGCUUGCGCAUUAUCGCUUUAAAUACGCAUCUCGAAUAGCUUAUUGAAAUUACAGUCUGCACAAUUGGAUUGACGCCAUCUAAUCCUCCUGUACGAGAAUGCCUUUUCAUGCAGAAGUCGGCAGAGCCAGUCACAAGAACCUGGACUAGAGGGGGAUCAAAUUUCCUGUUUCAUUCCAUUAGAGGACUGUAUAUCCAAUCCCACUGAUGAAACCCUACAGUGGUACUUUGUACUUGUCCUUGUGCUCAGGUUUGUGAAGCUUGUAGAUUGGGGGCUACUGUUGCUGAAGAAUCUGCUGACUCAAAAUUCCGUCAAUGAGGUCGCCAUUGGGCCUACACCAUUGUACGAGAACACCGCGCCUUUUAUGAAUUUCGGUCACAUAAUUGGCAGUGGUGCUUAGCCAGGGUUUAGUACAAAAUGUCUGUUAGGUCCGGAGAAGGUAGCACGUGGUUUUCUUUCCUGUGGUUUGGACUAUCCCGAGCUCAUCAUGUAUACUUUCCUUGGCAUUGUUACCAACAGCAAAGCGCUGGGGCUGUGGGAGUUGCAAGCUUCAUGUGGUGGACUGUUGCGAAGUAUACGAGAGUAAAAAUGCUGUCUCUUCUACAAGCUUUUUCCGUUGCGGCAAAGAUAUUUAAGAGCUCUGAGCAACAUCUGCCAAAUGACAUAGUAAUGGUAUUACAGGUUGGAAAGUGUAUCUCGUGAUACAGCCACUUAUUGCAAGUGACUGGAAAUGCGUAUGUUCCCCAGAAAAAUAAAAGUGAGGCUCGAUAAUGCUUAAAUCUGAAGAACUCAGAAAUCACUGGAAUUACUUACUCACACUUA